UCACGUUGAAACCCCGGUUCUCGUACGAUCACUGAAGUGAAGCAAUGUCGAGCUUGGUCAGUACCUAGGUGGGUGACCGCUUG